AGACCCGAAACCCGGUGAUCUAGCCAUGGGCAGGUUGAAGGUUGGGUAACACUAACUGGAGGACCGAACCGACUAAUGUUGAAAAAUUAGCGGAUGACCUGUGGCUGGGGGUGAAAGGCCAAUCAAACCGGGAGAUAGCUGGUUCUCCCCGAAAGCUAUUUAGGUAGCGCCUCGUGAAUUCAUCUCCGGGGGUAGAGCACUGUUUCGGCUAGGGGGCCAUCCCGGCUUACCAACCCGAUGCAAACUGCGAAUACCGGAGAAUGUUAUCACGGGAGACACACGGCGGGUGCUAACGUCCGUCGUGAAGAGGGAAACAACCCAGACCGCCAGCUAAGGUCCCAAAGUCAUGGUUAAGUGGGAAACGAUGUGGGAAGGCCCAGACAGCCAGGAUGUUGGCUUAGAAGCAGCCAUCAUUUAAAGAAAGCGUAAUAGCUCACUGGUCGAGUCGGCCUGCGCGGAAGAUGUAACGGGGCUAAACCAUGCACCGAAGCUGCGGCAGCGACGCUGAUGCGUUGUUGGGUAGGGGAGCGUUCUGUAAGCCUGCGAAGGUGGCCUGUGAGGGUUGCUGGAGGUAUCAGAAGUGCGAAUGCUGACAUAAGUAACGAUAAAGCGGGUGAAAAGCCCGCUCGCCGGAAGACCAAGGGUUCCUGUCCAACGUUAAUCGGGGCAGGGUGAGUCGACCCCUAAGGCGAGGCCGAAAGGCGUAGUCGAUGGGAAACGGGUUAAUAUUCCCGUACUUGGUGUUACUGCGAAGGGGGGACGGAGAAGGCUAUGUUGGCCGGGCGACGGUUGUCCCGGUUUAAGCGUGUAGGUGUGUGUUCCAGGUAAAUCCGGUUCACUUUAACACUGAGGCGUGACGACGAGGCACUACGGUGCUGAAGCAACAAAUGCCCUGCUUCCAGGAAAAGCCUCUAAGCAUCAGGUAACAUCAAAUCGUACCCCAAACCGACACAGGUGGUCA
rnacentral:rRNA from 1 species